rnacentral:rRNA from 1 species
AUUGAACGCUGGCGGAAUGCUUUACACAUGCAAGUCGAGCGGCAGCGCGGCCUUCGGGCUGGCGGCGAGCGGCGAACGGGUGAGUAAUGCAUCGGAACAUGCCCAGUCGUGGGGGAUAACACUUCGAAAGAAGUGCUAAUACCGCAUACGUCCUGAGGGGGAAAGCGGGGGAUCGCAAGACCUCGCGCGAUUGGAGUGGCCGAUGUCAGAUUAGCUAGUUGGUGGGGUAAAGGCCUACCAAGGCGACGAUCUGUAGCUGGUCUGAGAGGAUGAUCAGCCACACUGGGACUGAGACACGGCCCAGACUCCUACGGGAGGCAGCAGUGGGGAAUUUUGGACAAUGGGGGCAACCCUGAUCCAGCCAUUCCGCGUGAGUGAAGAAGGCCUUCGGGUUGUAAAGCUCUUUCGGCAGGAACGAAACGGUGGGCUCUAACAUAGUCCGCUAAUGACGGUACCUGAAGAAGAAGCACCGGCCAACUACCUG